rnacentral:rRNA from 1 species
GAGAAGGCUAUGUUGGCCGGGCGACGGUUGUCCCGGUUUAAGCGUGUAGGUGUGUGUUCCAGGAAAAUCCGGUUCACUUUAACACUGAGGCGUGACGACGAGGCACUACGGUGCUGAAGCAACAAAUGCCCUGCUUCCAGGAAAAGCCUCUAAGCCUCAGGUAACAUCAGAUCGUACCCGAAACCGACACAGGUGGUCAGGUAGAGAAUACCAAGGCGCUUGAGAGAACCCGGGUGAAGGAACUAGGCAAAAUGGUGCCGUAACUUCGGGAGAAGGCACGCUGACACGUAGGUGAAGCGGUUUACCCGUGGAGCUGAAGUCAGUCGAAGAUACCAGCUGGCUGCAACUGUUUAUUAAAAACACAGCACUGUGCAAACACGAAAGUGGACGUAUACGGUGUGACGCCUGCCCGGUGCCGGAAGGUUAAUUGAUGGGGUCAGCGCAAGCGAAGCUCCUGAUCGAAGCCCCGGUAAACGGCGGCCGUAACUAUAACGGUCCUAAGGUAGCGAAAUUCCUUGUCGGGUAAGUUCCGACCUGCACGAAUGGCGUAAUGAUGGCCAGGCUGUCUCCACCCGGGACUCAGUGAAAUUGAACUCGCUGUGAAGAUGCAGUGUACCCGCGGCAAGACGGAAAGACCCCGUGAACCUUUACUAUAGCUUGACACUGAACACUGGUCCUUGAUGUGCAGGAUAGGUGGGAGGCUUUGAAGUGUGGACGCCAGUCUGCAUGGAGCCGUCCUUGAAAUACCACCCUUUAAUGGCUGGUGUUCUAACGUAGACCCGUGAACCGGGUUGCGGACAGUGUCUGGUGGGUAGUUUGACUGGGGCGGUCUCCUCCUAAAGCGUAACGGAGGAGCACGAAGGUUGGCUAAUCCUGGUCGGACAUCAGGAGGUUAGUGCAAUGGCAUAAGCCAGCUUGACUGCGAGCGUGACGGCGCGAGCAGGUGCGAAAGCAGGUCAUAGUGAUCCGGUGGUUCUGAAUGGAAGGGCCAUCGCUCAACGGAUAAAAGGUACUCCGGGGAUAACAGGCUGAUACCGCCCAAGAGUUCAUAUCGACGGCGGUGUUUGGCACCUCGAUGUCGGCUCAUCACAUCCUGGGGCUGAAGUAGGUCCCAAGGGUAUGGCUGUUCGCCAUUUAAAGUGGUACGCGAGCUGGGUUUAGAACGUCGUGAGACAGUUCGGUCCCUAUCUGCCGUGGGCGCUGGAGAACUGAGGGGGGCUGCUCCUAGUACGAGAGGACCGGAGUGGACGCAUCACUGGUGUUCGGGUUGUCAUGCCAAUGGCACUGCCCGGUAGCUAAAUGCGGAAGAGAUAAGUGCUGAAAGCAUCUAAGCACGAAACUUGCCCCG